rnacentral:tRNA from 1 species
GGAUCAUUAGCUCAAAUGGAAGAGCACUUGAGAAUGACUCAAGAGAUGGUGGUUCAAAUCCACCAUGGUCUU